rnacentral:piRNA from 1 species
UAAAUAGCCCAUCUGGGAUGAAGCCCGAG